GUCAGUAGGUGACCUGCGGNAGGAUCAUUA
rnacentral:rRNA from 1 species